rnacentral:tRNA from 1 species
GGGUGCUUAGCUCAGUUGGGAGAGCGUCGCCCUUACAAGGCGAAGGUCGGGGGUUCGAGCCCCUCAGCACCCACCA